rnacentral:lncRNA from 1 species
UGUUGCCAUCUUCAUCCGCGAAUUGGCUCCCAAAUCUAAAAGGUGUGGUUGCCGAAACAUGAGUCUAACAAGGCGCGGCUGCUGAACCAGGAGAACCGCAGUGAGUUUUUGAUUUCUUAUUUGUUCGUCAGUGAAUCUAUCUAGCAUAGGAUUACACCAUACAUCAUUCUUCCCAUCAUUUAUGUUCUGUAAAUGAGAUAUGCAAUUUUUCCUUGGUAUCUUGGAUAAUGACAGUCUGGUUCUUGAAGUGCGAAAAUUAAACUGAUAUAAGUUAUUUUCUUUUUCAGGACCUGGUCACAAUGAAUGAGUUUGAGACAAACCUUGUGUCAUGUGUUAUCGCACUCAGAUAUCGGAGCCUUGGAGAAUGUAAAAGAAAUGUUAAACGGGUAGAUGUGGCCCCUCUAAACUUACCUGAAUUGUUCAGCAAAGGUCCGCGAUUAAUGGUACCCAUCUACAUUCAGUAGGGCGAGUUGGUCUUGCUAUAUUGCAUUCAGGCAUAGUGUUGAUAUUUCAUCAAAAAUAAGUUCAAGCAUGAUAUUUAAGAUCAAUUCUGGAAGAAUGACCUGACACACCUGAACAUAAGAAAAACAUAAGGUGACUAAAAAAUACAUUGAACCAAAUGUGCCUGACUGAAUUUUAUUUGGAAUCGUACGUGUUAUUAUUCUUUGGAUGUGGCUGGCCAUUGCUAGCAUGCAUACAUGUAGCCACAUCUAUGUGAUAUGG